AAUAAGAGAGUUUUUAUUAUACAUAAAGGCAAAUGCCCUACUUCAUCUCAAUACCAACCCCACAGACCUAGAACCAUUUUCUAUAAUAAAAAGAAUUGAAAAAUGGGGGUAAUAUAUAAUUGCAUAUGGAACCUAGAUCUGCCUGAACCAUUCAAUUCAUACAGCACUAAACAAAAGUCAAAGUACAUGAAAGUAAUCAGAAUUGGAGAAAUCAAUGUCAAAUCCAACUGGGUAAAACCAGAAAGAUUUUGAUGCUAGAAAUGGCCAAAACAAAAGGCACAAGCUUUCUAAACAGGUAAGUAUUAAGAUGCUCCACUCAAGCUUACCCAAUUAUGCCUACAUAAAUUAAAAAGAACCAUGUUUGAUUUUAUAUGCUUCAUAAGUUAUUUAAUGGAGCUGCCUACUGAUACGGCAUAUCCCUAUCACUUCAACUCUUCAAGAAUGUGGAGGUGGAGGCUGUGGAGCUAAAGCAAUCUGGGAGAGAUCCACAUUGUUUGAGCUCCAUACAGCUAAUAAAUGAAAUGUCACAUCUAGCAAGAGAAUUACUAUACAGCUUGCAAUUGCUUCCUAUAAUGUCAUUAAUGGGUUUAGAUCUUACAGCAACUUUUAGCAUCUCCCUUCAUUUCUCCUCCACCCACAUAAUAAAUAACAACCUACUAUCACUUUUUUCCAGUUCAGAAGAGGUCCAGCAUUGCUUUCUAUUUUCCCAAGUCCUAAUGGUCCUGUACAUAAAAAUAGGCAAGUCCCCCUAGACUUCUUGGUGUUAUUACUGCUGCUGGCUUGAACACGUAUACUUAGAACGAGCU